AGCAGCCGCGGUAAUUCCAGCUCCAAUAGCGUAUAUUAAAGUUGUUGCAGUUAAAAAGCUCGUAGUUGAAUUUCGGGAUCAAUGCGUCGGUCGUGCCUCGGUACGCACUAACGAUAUUGACCUCUACCUUCUGACGAACCGUGAUGUCAUUAAUUUGGUGUUACGGGGGGUUAGGACUGUUACUUUGAAAAAAUUAGAGUGUUUAAAGCAAGCAAUCGCUCGAAUACAUUAGCAUGGAAUAAUGAAAUAGGACGUUCGAACCUAUUUUGUUGGUUUCUAGGAUCGACGUAAUGAUUAAUAGGGAUAGUUGGGGGCAUUAGUAUUCAAUUGUCAGAGGUGAAAUUCUUGGAUUUAUUGAAGACUAACUACUGCGAAAGCAUUUGCCAAGGAUGUUUUCAUUAAUCAAGAACGAAAGUUAGGGGAUCGAAGACGAUCAGAUACCGUCGUAGUCUUAACCAUAAACUACGCCGACUAGGGAUCGGAUGAUGUAAUUUUUAAUG
rnacentral:rRNA from 1 species